GUGUGAUCUGUUCCUCAGUUUUCAUCUGUAAAAGGAGAAUGAUGACAUCAUUUGCAUGGGGUUGAAGUGGGGGGUGGAAGUAACAAAGAGGCGCCUGCACGCUUACUGCCGGCGUUCAGUAGGCCCCUCCUGCCCAGGGCCAUGCACCCCUGAGUGGCGACGUCUGGACCCUGGGCAGCCCCAGAGAACCGGAGCCAGAGAACGAAGACGGGGCCAGGACACCUGCUGGGGGCUUGGAUGCCCGGCUGCCUCUGAGGACAUCUUUGGAGCGAGGGUGGCUUUGGGGUGGGGGGUUGUGCCGCAGGGAAUCCAGCCAGGCCCCAAGAUGGACACUUCUGGGCACUUCCAUGACUCGGGGGUGGGGGACCUGGAUGAAGACCCCAAGGGUCCCUGCCCGUCGUCCGGGGAUGAGCAGCAGCCGCCGCCGCCGCCGCCGCCGCCCCCAGCAGCCCCCCAGCAGCCCCCGGGACCCCUGCUGCAGCCUCCGCAGCAGCCCCAGCAGCAGCCAGCGCGUCCCCUGUCUCUGCUCGCCCAGGUCCAGAGCCAGCCCGUCCAGCCCGGCCUGCCGCACUCCUCACCCACGACGCUCAGGGGCCCCCCUUCGGCCAACUCCACCGCUGCCCUCCGCCCCUCCUCCAGGCAAGGCAGCCAGUUCAAUCUCAAUGACCACUUGCUCGGCCACUCUCCAAGCUCCACAGCCACAAGUGGGCCCGCUGGCGGCGGCCGGCACCGGCAGGCCAGCCCCCUGGCGCACCGGCGGGACAGCAACCCCUUCACGGAGAUCGCCAUGAGCUCCUGCAAGUACAGCGGGGGGGUCAUGAAGCCCCUGAGCCGGCUGAGCGCCUCCCGGAGGAACCUCAUCGAGGCCGAGCCGGAAGGCCAGCCCCUCCAGCUCUUCAGCCCCAGCAACCCCCCCGAGAUCAUCAUCUCCUCCCGGGAGGACAACCAUACCCACCAGACCCUGCUCCACCCCCCCAACGCCACCCACAACCACCAGCACGCCGGCCCCGGCCCCGGCCCCGGCCCGGCCACCGCCGCCGGCAGCGCCACCUUCCCCAAAGCCAACAAACGGAAAAACCAAAACAUUGGCUAUAAGCUGGGACACAGGAGGGCCCUGUUCGAAAAGAGGAAGCGUCUCAGUGACUAUGCUCUGAUUUUUGGGAUGUUUGGAAUUGUUGUCAUGGUGAUAGAGACCGAGCUCUCUUGGGGUUUGUACUCAAAGGAUUCCAUGUUUUCGCUGGCCCUGAAAUGCCUUAUCAGCCUGUCUACCAUCAUCCUCUUGGGCUUGAUCGUCGCCUACCACACGCGAGAAGUCCAGCUCUUCGUGAUUGACAACGGCGCGGACGACUGGCGGAUAGCCAUGACCUGCGAGCGCGUCCUGCGCAUCAGCCUGGAGAUGCUGGUGUGCGCCAUCCACCCCGUCCCCGGCGAGUACAAGUUCUUCUGGACGGCGCGCCUGGCCUUCUCCUACACGCCGUCGCGGGCGGAGGCCGACGUGGACAUCAUCCUGUCCAUCCCCAUGUUCCUGCGCCUGUACCUGAUAGCCCGCGUCAUGCUGCUGCACAGCAAGCUGUUCACGGACGCCUCGUCCCGCAGCAUCGGGGCGCUCAACAAAAUCAACUUCAACACCCGCUUCGUCAUGAAGACCCUCAUGACCAUCUGCCCCGGCACCGUGCUGCUGGUGUUCAGCAUCUCGCUGUGGAUCAUCGCCGCCUGGACCGUGCGUGUCUGCGAAAGGUACCACGACCAGCAGGACGUGACCAGUAACUUCCUGGGUGCCAUGUGGCUCAUCUCCAUCACCUUCCUCUCCAUCGGUUACGGGGACAUGGUCCCACACACGUACUGUGGGAAGGGCGUCUGCCUUCUCACCGGCAUCAUGGGUGCGGGCUGCACUGCCCUCGUGGUGGCUGUGGUGGCCCGGAAGUUGGAGCUCACCAAGGCGGAGAAGCACGUGCACAACUUCAUGAUGGACACUCAGCUCACCAAACGGAUCAAGAACGCCGCGGCCAACGUCCUUCGGGAAACGUGGCUGAUCUACAAGCACACGAAGCUGCUGAAGAAGAUUGACCACGCCAAGGUCCGGAAGCACCAGAGGAAGUUCCUGCAAGCUAUCCACCAACUGAGGAGCGUCAAGAUGGAGCAGAGGAAGCUUAGCGACCAGGCCAACACCCUGGUGGACCUCUCCAAGAUGCAGAACGUCAUGUACGACCUGAUCACGGAGCUCAACGACCGCAGCGAAGACCUGGAGAAGCAGAUCGCCAGCCUGGAGUCCAAGCUGGAGCACCUGGCGGCCGGCUUCAGCUCCCUGCCCCUCCUCAUCGCCGACGCGCUCCGCCAGCAGCAGCAGCUCCUGUCCGCCCUCGCCGAGGCCCGGGUUGGCGCGGCGGGCACCCCGCACACGCCCCCGCCCUCCGACAGCCCCCUCGGGGUCAGCUCCGCCUCCUUCCCGACCCCGUACACGAGCUCCAGCAGCUGCUAAAUGAACGCCCGCUCCGGAAGCGGAACCCAUAGGUCUUAAGAUGCAAAUCGACUCUGUCCUGGUCACUGCGCCAUCAAGGAACAAUCAGAGCAGGGAGCGCAAAGAAGAGAGACCAGCUAAUUAAGUAGCUCCCGUUCGUUGGGCGUGCUUGGUUGGAUACGCCUCGAAACCAGAAAUCUAAUCUCUGUUUAGGUGCCUCCACUUGGGAGCGGGAAGACGGGGGUGGGGGGACAGGAAGCGGUGGCGCAGAACAGAAAUCCACGCGCGAUCUCCGGUCUCGCGCGGGAGCGGGGGUGGAGGGGGCAGACAGGUGCACGCAAGGGGCCAACGGGGAAGGAGCCCAGAGGAGGGUCCCCCGGGGGCGGUGUCAGGCUUGGGCGUGGGCUCCUCACCGGGUUCCUGGGCACACCCCUCUCCUUGCCUCGGGAUGACACUGGCCAGAACAGGCGCUGUCUCCUCUCAUGCCGGAGUCAUAAAACCCAAUUUAGACACACAAAAAAAAGUAAAACCAGAUUUUCCAUCCAAUAUUAAUACCCAUAUAAACCUGUGUGUUUGCACAUCUGUGCACGCACACACCCCACAUUCAACCCAGGUCUUUUCUCGCUUGAACUUGACCCACUAGAAAGGGACCCGGUACCUUACUGUGCACACAGUAGGCGCUCUGUAAUGCACGUGGAGUUGGCUUGAAUCUGAAUGUGGGUGCUUUCAGCUCAGGGGGUUUGCUAGUGUCGGGCAUAUUCUGAGCUUCCCUAAAGACGCAGGCUAGAGAGAGCACCUCACCCUGGGGGCGCACCCUGCUUGCUCGGCUAGAGAUGAACGCCCAGCCAGACUUGUUGGCAUUCCGGAGGGAUGAGCAGUCUUCUAAAAACAACAGCCCCACAGAGUUUCCUCCGUAUAUCUGAGCCAGCCGUGUUCCCAUGGAGCACGUGAGGGGAGGGCACGGGGUCCCCGCACGUGGGCACACGCACGCGCCAGCAGGGGCAGCCCAGUGACACCUGAGUGAGGACCAGCACGUCUGGGGCUUUGCUCGGCUGCGUCCACGCAGCUGCAGGGCUCCAGCCCCAGGUGUCAGGAGCGCAAAGGGGCCCAAGUCCCUACCUGGGGGCCACCGAGCUGGAAGAAGUGGAGGGGGGGCCCGUGGUCCCUUCUACCUGGCCCGAGACCGCCUCAAAGCGAAAGAUUCGGAGAAUAACGGGACCCUCAGGGAGCCCUGGGGGCCGGGACAGAUGACGCGGGCCUGUCAGCAGCCUGUUCUGCGCCACGGUGAUCUUGGUGCAAAAACUACUCGAAUGUGUCUCAAACUCCAAGAAACUUGAGAAGCGUGAAGACCCAGUGUCGUGACAGGCGCUGGGAGGCGAGGCGCGUGGACGCGGUCCCUUACUGCUCUGUGUCUGGCCACCACCCGUGUGCUGUGACGCAGCCGUCACGUGCCCCGUCACCGCUCCCGUCGUGAGGUCCUCGACUUCGGCUGCGGGACGGCGAACGACACGGUUCGCGGUAUCCCAUCUGUUCAGGGAAGGGUGUCAUUUGCAGACGGUCGGCCUCCCUGUGCGUAGGACAUUGUCACGUCUCUGACGUCCUGACAUCAACUGGGCCAGGCCUGCUAGGGACAAGGGAGUCACUAGAUGGCAGGAGGCGGGUGACCCUGGAACCGGGCAAGAUCGGGCGUCUUGCCAACCUUCCCCUUUUCCCUCUUUCUGUUGCUGCCGUUUUCCCUAAACGGGCUUGUUCUCCGCGCGGUAACCGGAGAACACGUCCGUUGGGUGUUUUGCGUAUCACACCUGCCGCCCCUGCUGUUGGCUCUUUAUUUUGCUACUUGUUCUUUCAACUGUCAAUCAUCCGACAGAUCACCCUCCUUUUUCGUGCCCCAAGAAUGGUGCUCCUGUUCUCAGUGGCAGUGCAGCCGAGCGUAUAAACAGAUGCGGAGGCAGAUGAAAUAACCAUGCGGUUUCUUUACGGCGUUAAUUCCACUCACAAGGUGGAGACCGCGUCUGCCACGCUGCGCGCUCCAGCCCCGGUCGCUGACCGACGGUCCCCGCCCGUUACCUCCUGCUCGCCCUUCCCAUUCCGCUGUGACCCAUGACGUGUGUGCGCACGUCCACGCUCACAGGGGGUUAGUCUUAACUUCAAAUAAAUGGCACGCAAGAUUCCACUGCCACCCCCCUGCACAGACCGCCGUUGGGCCGCCGAGGUCUGCGGGUAAUUCUUCCACCCCUCGCUAACGCGGUGCACCCAAAUGAACGCCAAAGACCAAGCUGGCCACACUGGUAAAGGGGGGCUGGAGUCCUCUCCGGAAGCUGAGGCCACCGGCCCCCGGAAACACAGGGGCGUCUGGGGCAGGACUCGAGCUCACGGCAGUGCAGUAGCUGUGUGGAGUUUUCUUCCUCGGCACCGUGCCCAGUCUUCAAAAACGAUCCAGUCUUUGCCAAUCUUGUGACCGUAAACGGGAGGGCACAUCCCUGACGGAGCCCCUCAGCUUCAUGUGGGGAAGUUAUCCGCUCUCCUGCGAGUGCAAUCGACCUUGAUGACCUCAGUAUUGAUCAUCCAAAGUGUAGUUCCCCCCCACCCCCGGUGUCCUCCCCGUAGCCUGCCUUGUGGCCAAUCCCGCUGUGCCUCAGCGUCACAGACAGAUGGGACCAGGUAGCGGGUGAUCGCUGUGCCUUCUCGUUCCCUCGUGCCGAGUCUGGUGGCAGUGGAGAUUGAAUUGUCUGCUGGAGAAUCGGCUGUGUGAACUAACGUAAAACUCUCACUCACAGUGACCUCACUCUAAUGCUGAACUGAGUUCUGCCCGCUCGCGGAAGGCCGACCCAAUGGCAGAGCCCUCCUAUACCUUUUCUGGUAACUCAGUGCCAGAUAAAAUACCUACGAGUCCCUAAAAUAUCCAGACACUUGAAUUAAAACUCCAGAGCCACCCCCCCCCCCCAAUCACUUAAGCCAUAUUGUAGCCUCAUGUGCUGUAAAGUCAGGGACGGACUGUGAUACUCUAAGACCGCUGGUCUCUGUGGAAUUUCGGGACGUGGCGUCAGUUGGCAAAUUCUACCAGACUCGGGGCUCGCUCCUCCUUAGACUGAAGUCCCAAUAAAAAUCUGCCCCUUUUGGAUCGAAGGCCACGACAUCAGUAAAUUGUCAUAAAGUGUCUGCACUGCUCUUCCCAUCCUCACGACGUGCAACGUCAUGACGUGAUAUCUCUAAAAAUGCUUAACGCCACUCGGGAGAACGAGGGGGGUGAGGCCCUGGGUCGUGGCUACCUUCCAGCCUCAGCGGGUGCCGGGCGCGUAGCGGCGACUUCAUAAAUUAGGAGGCACAGAGGACGCCCGCGCCAGCCAGUCUCGAGUGAGCCAGGACAGCUGCCGCUUAAAGGCCAAGAAGGAACAGCGUUGAAGAAAUAAUGAUUCUGAUACAUUUGAGGAAUCCCCCCUCAGAGUUCCAGUGAUUUCCACGUGGAUGAAGGAGAGGAACAGGAAGAAAGCUAGAGAUACGGAAUCGGAGUAAUUAAGUUCCAAUGCUGGACCCAUGCCUUUGGCCAGUUAAUGUCACCACCUCACACCUCGGUUUCUCUGUGCUUAAAGGGAAGCCGAUAGGUAGCUCCCCUAAGUACAAAGUACUCCGUAGAUUUUACGACAGAGUCGCGCUGGCCUUCAGCAGCAGCCACACCGGGUCCCGUCGAGCCCACGCUUGGGUGUUGUGUGUGAAUGUGCGCGAGAGUCACCAGAAAGCAAUGAGGACACCUCACCUGGGAAGGGAAAUUAGCGGGAGGGACCCGGGACUGGCACACGGGCCCCGGCCCCUCCCCCACCCCGGGCCAGUGCUUCACCCCAGACCACAGGCGUCGCAGCCGAGAUUCCGGGAAGUCCUUGCACCACCAGUAAGUUACUGCUUUAAAUCCCGGCGUGUGUCCCCACUCCCGGGCACUCCUCCCGCUUCCCCAACAGUGGCUCCGAAGCGGAGUCAGGCUGGCCGGUGGUCAUGAUGCCGCCCCAGGAACCCGACGACGCUGCCUCCGCACCUCACGCGGCCGUCCGGUGGCCUCCAGCAUGGCGGCCGGCGCAGUGAUGCCCUAGACGUCGUCCCUUCCUUCUCUGCUGCCACCAAAGGAAACCCCGAGUGAGAUUGGGGCCAUCGAUGGCGCCAGGCGAGGGUGUCCCAGGGGCCCGGCCGGACCACCAGCUCCCGGCCGGCUAGUAGAGGCGAGUGCGCUUCGCCUGGGCCGCACGGGUGGAAGUUAACGUUAAGUUCCCGCCAGACGGGUGACACGUAGGGUUUUUGCCGAGAUAGGUGGAAACGGCACUCAGCGCAGGGCAGUGUGAGCGAAGGGGAGUGUGAGCACACAGAGAGGCGAGGAGCUGUGACUAUCCCUGGAAACGCCCCGCGUGGGCUGGAGUUCCUUCUGAACAAAACUGUCAUCGAAGCUCCAACGUCUGACCUCCACGCCCAGGUGCCAAGUGUCGAGUGACGGUUGUUUACGUGCCUGAGAAGCGCAUUCUGGAAGCCGCAUCUUGGGCCGGACCGUGUGUUGAAACUAAAGAAGUGUCGUGACCAAUCAAGCUGAUGGAGGAAAAGCACAAAAUUUAACACCAACCCGUAGUUAGGAUCCCAAAGAAAUGCUGAAUUUAUAGCCAAAAAAAAAAAAUCAGUGACAAAUCCACUAUGACUGUGAUGGGAGCAACCGUGUUCCCAGAGGAAGGACACCCCCCGGCCGUGUCGAACAGCCCCAGCCAGGACCCAGCCACCUUCGUCAGAGGUCUUAAUGGCGCCACUACUCACCCCGGUCCCAGACUCUGCGUUGUGCACCGGACGAAGAGGAGACGAGAGAGCGGCAGGAUUUAGCGGAGGGACCACGUUCGUGGCCGACUUAGAAAGUGGAGUGUUUGUGUUCAGAAUCACGUGACCUUCAGUAUGAAUUUGCAUCUUGCCUCUGUACUGCUGGCUAUUUUUUAAUGAUAGGAGAAAGCAUAAGUUUAUUUUAAAUAUGAAAUAUAUUGCUAUAUUAUAAAAUAUAUUGUAACUUUCAAUUCACAUUUUGUAUCAAACUAGUCCUUGGCGGCCUGCGCGUCGCCCGCUCUCCCAACACCUGUUUCUGAGUGCACAUCACUGUUAACGACCCCUGCCGACCCGGACCCACAGAGCCGUCACAGUCUGAUUCUCCAAGACCUGCCCGCUGGAGACAAAAGAACCCUGUUCCAAGCUUAGAGGAAAAAUUCUACCCUAAAUUCUAUCAAGCCAUUGCAGAUGAGAUUUUAAAAGCCAUGACCCCCCUGGUAGCUGUGCCCGGCCAGUUCGAAAAAUGCUCAGGUUCUUUCUGUGUAAACGCAAAGACCCUGCUACGUAAAUACGUAAACGAUAGGGGUCUCAAACUCGGCCAACCGGCUUUGCCUUCAGGGACGUCACAAUCGGGUCCAGGAAGAGUCCUGUGCUCCUGUGACACAAGGCUCGAAAUCCAGGCGCUGUGAGCUUAUCUGUGUCCAGACAGAGUCAGACCAGACCUGGAGCUUCACUUCCGCAGGUGCAGUGAGACCCAGUGAGACCCAGUGAGGCCCAGUGAGGCCCAGGGAGGCCCAGGGAGGCCCAGGGAGGCCCAGGGAGACCCAGCGUGCAGGCGCGAGCCCCUGGAGGAAGCAGGGGCUCCCCGUGUUUACCCCCACACGGGGCUCGGCCCAGAGGGAGGGAGGAAGCAGUGAACAGCUGGACCCAGCAGAGCCGGGCUCCCUUCCCGCCGGUGUAGCUGAGGGGAAGGGAGCCUCAACCGACGCUGUCUUCACUGGCAGAAUUGGGGGAAAUUCUCUCCUUACGCAACUCACGAAUUCCGCCCCCCCCCCCCCGCCCGCCCCGUCUGAAUAGCUGAGACACAUGUAGAAUUUCUCACUUCCCUCCUCUGAAUGACGGAGGGACUAUUUCCAGAUGAAAACAGGAUGUGUUUGGUUACAGAACAAAGGUUUUCUAGAAUCCGUGGGCCUCCCCCCAGGAGGCCCCUCUCUCGUUUUCCUCACUUCGGGCUAAUACCGCACAGGUGCGAAGCGUGGAGCCCCAGGACCCCUGGGACUGUGUCUCCUUUCUCCCCAAACGGAAGCCCACGCAGACACGCCCAGAGUGCAGGGCAACAGGCCUUCUCUGGGGCAGGGUGGGGCCCUCUCAAGCUCGCACGUAGAAGGCCCAGGCGUCAGUGGCCCGGGCCGUCUGAGAGAGAAGUGUCCAAACGGCCAGCUUCAGGCUGCUCGCACUUUGUUUUUAGUGCAGGAGACUCCCUCGGUGUCCGCACUGCCCUCAGUUACGCGCGAGGCUGGGCUCCGUCAGACCGCAGGACGAAUGUGUUUAGCACUGGGUAAAGGAAAUUAGUUUGUUGUCAAUUUUACAAUUAGCUGAUGAACGUGCUGGUGGUAAUUGAUCUGUCCCUACUGCUUUUCUGCUGCUAAAUAGAACUGUCUUUUUCGGCUGUUUCUUCCAGCGCCUCUCAGACUAAGACUUUUACGUUCAUAGAGAGCAGGUGCAUUCUUGUUUACCCCUCAAAGUUACUCUUCGGUCUAGAGCAAGAAAACCAAAUGCAAACUCUUGAUUUGGGGAGAGCAGACCUUGCCCGGAAUUCGGGUUUGUGGCUGGAUGCACAGUGUGGCCCAGACACGCACCAGCAGCACCUGGGAACUUAGAAAUGCAGACUCUCGCCCCCCCCCCCCCCCCACUUAAUGAAACUUGGCGUUUUCACAAGAUCCCCAAGUGAUCCGUGUGCACGUUCAGCGGUAGCUGGAGAAUUAAACCAUUUGUUCUUUGACCCUCCUUUACAGAAUCACCCGAUGAGGUCAAGUCCUGUACGAUCACGAGGACAAAAACAGUUCCACUCGAGGUCGUAUGACGUGUACAAAACGGGCGGUCUUCUCCCAGUCUAAUUCCUUUAAAACUUGCUUUGUAGCCUAGAGCCACCGCGAGGCCCCUUCCGGGUUUCUGGUUUUAGCCUGUGCCAGCGGGGUCGGCGGGAGGGUGGCCCGGCCCUGCUCAGGCGCUACAGAGCGAGAGAGCUGUGUGACUUCCGCGACGCCCAUCAGUGGGCGCUCGCCUCCCCUGAGAGAACUAGCGAGGGGAGUUGCUUUAAUCGUCUAGAGACACUCCUAGUCUCUCAGUCACGACAGCCACCGGAGACACUCCGAGGUGAGCAACGGAAAACGGGACUUGCGAUGUGGGCACCACAGAUCGAUAUGUACCCAGAAACAGUCGUGUUCUAAAUUAAUGGCUUUAACCUGUUCAUUGUAAAAAGUGCCUUGGACUUCGAUCUCAAGAGAUAAAACGCUGUCCUCUGUCUUAAGGAAGGUGGAUGCGCAGCUGUGAAAGCUGGAAGCCGAAAGUGGGCCCGGUUCUCGGAUCCGGACACUUCGGCGGAAUUCCGGGCCCUCGAGGGACAGCGCCCCCUGCCGGCCAUCCGGGAGCACAGCGACCUGGGGCACAGGGGACCCCGACGCCUCUGGGAGAAAGCUCCUCGGGGCGCGUCACACCCGCAUCUCGCGGCCCAGAGAAGUGACCUGCCCCAAAGCAAACCUUAGCGCAGGGACCGGCGCGUCGCGGGCACGUCGCGGGCGCCUUCCGUGCCGGUGCGGAAAGCCAGGCCUGCCCGGCGCCUCUCCACCGUCCGGCCUUCACCCCGGAGCCCCCAUCCAUCUCGCAAAUGCCACGUGAACCCAGGGGGCCCUGCUCCCCCCCCAGCACGUGUUCACACCACACAGGACGCCCAGCGCCCGCAUUACCGACCCCCUGCAAACAAGGGUAUCCAUAUUUCAGGGGUAACCAUCACUUUCAAAUUCAUCUGCCUUUCGUGUAAAGAAUUUAGAGCUAACA